GCAGCCGCCGCGGGAAUACGAAGGGUGCAAGCGUUAAUCGGAAUUACUGGGCGUAAAGCGCGCGUAGUCGGCUUUUUAAGUCAGAGGUGAAAGCCCGGGGCUCAACCCCGGAAUUGCCUUUGAAACUGGAAAGCUAGAAUCUUGGAGAGGUCAGUGGAAUUCCGGGUGUAGAGGUGAAAUUCGUAGAUAUUCGGAAGAACGCCAGUGGCGAAGGCGACUGACUGGACAAGUAUUGACGCUGAGGUGCGAAAGCGUGGGGAGCAAACAGGAUUAGAUACCCCUGUAGUCCCUGUCUCUUAUAC
rnacentral:rRNA from 1 species